rnacentral:rRNA from 1 species
CGCGUAGGUGGAUAUUUAAGUCGGAUGUGAAAUCCCCGGGCUUAACCUGGGAAUUGCAUUCGAUACUGGAUAUCUUGAGUAUGGUAGAGGAAAGCGGAAUUCCCGGUGUAGCGGUGAAAUGCGUAGAUAUCGGGAAGAACAUCAGGGCGAAGGCGGCUUUCUGGACCAAUACUGACACUGAGGCGCGAGAGCGUGGGGAGCAAACA